CCUACGGGAGGCAGCAGUAGGGAAUCUUUCACAAUGGGCGAAAGCCUGAUGCAGCAACGCCGCGUGCAGGAUGAAGGCCUUCGGGUUGUAAACUGCUUUUAUAAGCGAGAAAUAUGAUGGUAACUUAUGAAUAAGGAUCGGCUAACUACGUGCCAGCAGCCGCGGUCAUACGUAGGAUCCGAGCAUUAUCCGGAGUGACUGGGUGUAAAGAGUUGCAUAGGUGGCAUAAUAAGUAGCUAGGGAAAUCUGGUGGCUCAACCAUUCAGACUAUUAGCGAAACUGUUAAGCUCGAGAACGUUAGGGGUAACUGGAAUUUCUAGUGUAGGAGUGAAAUCCGUAGAUAUUAGAAGGAACACCAAUAGCGUAGGCAGGUUACUGGGACGGUUCUGACACUAAGGCACGAAAGCGUAGGGAGCAAACGGGAUUAGAUACCCUAGUAGUC
rnacentral:rRNA from 1 species